rnacentral:rRNA from 1 species
UAGGGAAUCUUCGGCAAUGGACGAAAGUCUGACCGAGCAACGCCGCGUGAGUGAAGAAGGUUUUCGGAUCGUAAAACUCUGUUGGUAGAGAAGAACGUUGGUGAGAGUGGAAAGCUCAUCAAGUGACAGUAACUACCCAGAAAGGGACGGCUAACUACGUGCCAGCAGCCGCGGUAAUACGUAGGUCCCGAGCGUUGUCCGGAUUUAUUGGGCGUAAAGCGAGCGCAGGUGGUUUAUUAAGUCUGGUGUAAAAGGCAGUGGCUCAACCAUUGUAUGCAUUGGAAACUUGUAGACUUGAGUGCAGGAGAGGAGAGUGGAAUUCCAUGUGUAGCGGUGAAAUGCGUAGAUAUAUGGAGGAACACCGGUGGCGAAAGCGGCUCUCUGGCCUGUAACUGACACUGAGGCUCGAAAGCG